AUGAACGCUAGCGGCAGGCCUAAUACAUGCAAGUCGAACGAUACCAGAGAGCUUGCUUUCUGGGAAAGUGGCGCACGGGUGCGUAACGCGUAUGCAACCUACCUUAAUCAGGGGGAUAGCCUCUCGAAAGAGAGAUUAACACCGCAUAAAAUCACACUUCGGCAUCGAAGAAUGAUCAAAUAUUUAUAGGAUUAAGAUGGGCAUGCGUGACAUUAGUUUGUUGGUGAGGUAACGGCUCACCAAGACUACGAUGUCUAGGGGAUCUGAGAGGAUGACCCCCCACACUGGUACUGAGACACGGACCAGACUCCUACGGGAGGCAGCAGUAAGGAAUAUUGGUCAAUGGGGGCAACCCUGAACCAGCCAUGCCGCGUGCAGGAAGACGGCCCUACGGGUUGUAAACUGCUUUUAUACGGGAAUAAAUCUCGCUACGUGUAGUGAGUUGAAUGUACUGUAAGAAUAAGGAUCGGCUAACUCCGU
rnacentral:rRNA from 1 species